GGGGGCUUAGCUCAGUGGCAGAGCGAUGGCAGUUAACGGUCAGGGGUAAUUAAUCUAUUUUAUUUUGUUUUUGUGUGUUCCAUGAUACAGGCCGGCAAAACCAUAGGUCACGGGUUCAAUUCCCGUAGCUCCCA
rnacentral:tRNA from 3 species